rnacentral:rRNA from 1 species
UACGUAGGGGGCAAGCGUUGUCCGGAUUUAUUGGGCGUAAAGAGCUCGUAGGCGGCUUGUCGUGUCGACUGUGAAAACCCGUGGCUCAACCAUGUGGUCUGCAGUCGAUACGGGCAGGCUAGAAUUCGGUAGGGGAGACUGGAAUUCCUGGUGUAGCGGUGAAAUGCGCAGAUAUCAGGAGGAACACCGGUGGCGAAGGCGGGUCUCUGGGCCGAUAUUGACGCUGAGGAGCGAAAGCGUGGGGAGCGAACAGG